rnacentral:misc_RNA from 1 species
AAGGAUCAUUAUCGAGUGAAGGGCUCUAUUGAGUCCGACCUCCCAACCCUUGUAUUCUUUACCACUUUGCUUCGGCGGGCCCGUCGCUGCUGUGACCGCCGAAGGGUUAUGUUUUCUUAACUAACCUUUGGGCCCGUGCCCGCCGGAGAUAUCUGAAUUCUUGUUAUGAAUAGGUUGUCUGAGUUAAAAAGAAAAUAAAGUUUAAAACUUUCAACAACGGAUCUCUUGGUUCCGGCAUCGAUGAAGAACGCAGCGAAAUGCGAUAAGUAAUGUGAAUUGCAGAAUUCCGUGAAUCAUCGAAUCUUUGAACGCACAUUGCGCCCUCUGGUAUUCCGGAGGGCAUGCCUGUCCGAGCGUCAUUGCUCUACCUCAAGCCCGGCUUGUGUGUUGGGUCUACCGUCCAGAGGGACGGUGACCCGAAAGGCAGUGGCGGCGUCGCGUCCCGGUCCUUAAAGCGUAUGGGGCUUUGUCACCCGCUUGGAGGCCCGGCCGACCCCGUAGCCCAUCGUAGAUUUUCCAGAUCUAUUUCUGAUGGACCUCGGAUCAGGUAGGGAUACCCGCUGAACUUAAGCAUAUCAAUAAGCGGAGGAAAAGAAACCAACAGGGAUUGCCUUAGUAACGGCGAGUGAAGCGGCAAGAGCUCAAAUUUGAAAUCUGGCCUCUUUGGGGUCCGAGUUGUAAUUUGGAGAGGAUGCUUCGGGUUCAGCCCCCAUCUAAGUGCCCUGGAACGGGCCGUCAUAGAGGGUGAGAAUCCCGUCUGGGAUGGGUGGCUGUGCCCAUGUGAAGCUCCUUCGACGAGUCGAGUUGUUUGGGAAUGCAGCUCUAAAUGGGUGGUAAAUUUCAUCUAAAGCUAAAUAUUGGCCGGAGACCGAUAGCGCACAAGUAGAGUGAUCGAAAGAUGAAAAGCACUUUGAAAAGAGAGUGAAACAGCACGUGAAAUUGUUGAAAGGGAAGCGCUUGCAACCAGACUCGCCUGGAGAGGCUCCACCGGUACCUGUACCGGUUCACUCCUCCCCUGGCGGGCCAGCGUCGGUUUGGGCGGUUGGUUAAAGGCUCCCGGAAUGUAUCGCCCUCCGGGGCGUCUUAUAGCCGGGAGUGCCAUGCAACCAGCCCAGACCGAGGAACGCGCUUCGGCUCGGACGCUGGCAUAAUGGUUGUAAGCGGCCCGUCUUGAAACACGGACCAAGGAGUCUAACAUCUAUGCGAGUGUUCGGGUGUUAAACCCGUCCGCGCAGUGAAAGCGAACGGAGGUGGGAACCCCUUGGGUGCACCAUCGACCGAUCCUGAUGUCUUCGGAUGGAUUUGAGUAAGAGCAUAGCUGUUGGGACCCGAAAGAUGGUGAACUAUGCCUGAAUAGGGCGAAGCCAGAGGAAACUCUGGUGGAGGCUCGCAGCGGUUCUGACGUGCAAAUCGAUCGUCAAAUUUGGGUAUAGGG